rnacentral:rRNA from 1 species
UACGUAGGUGACAAGCGUUGUCCGGAUUUAUUGGGUUUAAAGGGUGCGUAGGCGGUCUAUUAAGUCAGCGGUGAAAUACUCCAGCUUAACUGGAGGGGUGCCAUUGAUACUGAUGGACUUGAGUCAAGUCGAGGUAGGCGGAAUUGACGGUGUAGCGGUGAAAUGCUUAGAUAUCGUCAAGAACACCAAUAGUGAAGACAGCUUACUGGGCUUAAACUGACGCUGAGGCACGAAAGUGUGGGGAUCAAAACAGG